CAGUCGCCGCGGUAAUACAGAGGGUGCGAGCGUUAAUCGGAUUUACUGGGCGUAAAGCGUGCGUAGGCGGCUUUUUAAGUCGGAUGUGAAAUCCCUGAGCUUAACUUAGGAAUUGCAUUCGAUACUGGGAAGCUAGAGUAUGGGAGAGGAUGGUAGAAUUCCAGGUGUAGCGGUGAAAUGCGUAGAGAUCUGGAGGAAUACCGAUGGCGAAGGCAGCCAUCUGGCCUAAUACUGACGCUGAGGUACGAAAGCAUGGGGAGCGAACAGGAUUAGAUACCCCAGUAGUCCCUGUCUCUUAUAC
rnacentral:rRNA from 1 species